UACGUAGGGUGCAAGCGUUGUCCGGAAUUAUUGGGCGUAAAGCGUGCGCAGGCGGUGCGCCAAGCUCGAUGUGAAAGCCCCGGGCUUAACCUGGGAAUUGCAUUGAGGACUGGCGUGCUCGAGUGCGGCAGAGGGGGGUGGAAUUCCACGUGUAGCAGUGAAAUGCGUAGAGAUGUGGAGGAACACCGAUGGCGAAGGCAGCCCCCUGGGCCGACACUGACGCUCAUGCACGAAAGCGUGGGGAGCAAACAGG
rnacentral:rRNA from 1 species